rfam:Triticum aestivum genome assembly, contig: Triticum_aestivum_CS42_TGACv1_scaffold_321060_4BL
GAUAUACUCCCUUCGUCCAAAAAUACUUGUCAUCAAAAUGAAUAAAAAGUAAUGUAUUUAGACGUAUAGGGAUGUAUCUAGAACUAAAAUACAUCUAAAUACAUCUCUUUUUAUCCAUUUUGAUGACAAAUAUUUUCGGACGGAGGGAAUAUUUU